AUCCGGGCCCGCCGAAACCGCGAGGCAGGCGGCCCGGGAGAGAGUGCGGCGCGCGGAGCAGCGCCCGGCCGGCUCCGCCAUUCAGGCGCGCGGCCUCCCUCCCCAGCCCCCACCGGCGCAUUGUUACACUCGCUCCCAUCCAUUCAGAGCCCAAGGCCCGCCGCGCCCCCGCCAGCCCGGGCUCCGCGCAGGAGGGCACCGCUGCAGCCCGCACUCCGGCCCCUGCGUGGACUGGAUAACGACCAAGAGUCCCAAGAAGGAAAACUGCUCGCCGGGAAAACGGGCGCCCCAGGAAGCUGUGGCCGCGACGGCCUAGGGCCUGGCUGGUGUUUCGCUUCCCCUCUGCCCCACCACGGAGGCCCCUGGAGCGACCAGGCUCCAAAUGUCACCCUCGCGUCCUGCCACCCCCUGUCCCCGCCGCACUCGGCCCCAUGUCCUCCUCCCGGGUUCCCUGCCUUCAAGGCGCGGGAGAGGGAGGCCGACCUCGAAAAGAGCGGCGGGCGGCAGGCUGCGCCGCUGUCUGUGGGGUGCCAGGCUCGCGUGUCCGGGGCCCCCGCCCGUGACGUCAUCCCCGAAGGGCCCGUGCGUCCCGGGCCGCUACAGAGCUCCCCAAGUCGCGGGGCCGCUUCCUGCCCGGCCUCGGGGCCUGCGCAUAGGCCCCGGCGCCGCUGCCCGGGUGGGGACACCGCAGAGAGCCCGCGCACCCCAUCUCGCCACGCACGGCCUUCGCCGCCCCUGCGGGCCCUGACUCCUACGCGACGGCCACGCCGGGCCCGGGUCACGCAUGGGGAAGUCAGCUCCCGCCCCCCACCUCGGACGCACUCACAAAGCUCCCCUCCGCCCCCGGCGCCGCGCGAAUGUUCCCCACGUCGCCACCCUACGCUCCGCAAACACUCCGCGCCUCGGCGCACGCAGAGCCCUUGCCACACUCGCCCCUCGCGCCAUGCCCCAACCCGACCUCAGCCGGCCGCACAUUCCCCAGAAGACCCUCAGCCGCGGCGCAGGGCGCCCCCACCCUGCAGCUCCCCAGACGUCCAUCCGGUGACCUCGCGCACCCCCCACACCACACAAAGCAAGGACCCCGCGGACCCCACAUCUCCACCCAGCGCGCGCUCUCGGUUCCCGAACCCGCCUCGGCUCCUCACCCGGCCCAGGAUCCCGACGCCUCGCGCCGCCCCCGCCCCGGGGCAGCGUCCACUGAGCCCCCGCGCCCCGUCGCUCGCUGCUCACCUCGGUGCCCGCGCUCACUCGGGGCCCUGGGUCUGGCGCUGCGACUUCGCGGCCCGGAGGCCUGGGUGGCCAUGGGGUCGGGCGCGGCGGCCCGCCGGCCCGCGGCCAGGCAGGAAGGAGGGUGGGCCGCGGCGCCCCUCCUCGCGCCGGCGCUCGGGCCGCGGGCUGGGCGGCCUGCUCGGCUCGCCUCUCGCCUUCGCCGCACUCGCUCUCCCACUAGUCUCUCGGAGCCCAGCCGCGGGCGAGGGCGGCGCCCGGGGCGCGGGGAGCGGGCGGCGCGGGGACCGGGCCCUGGCCGCGCACCCGGCCGGGCCUGCCUGGUGUCCGCGGGUGCCGCGGGGAAAUGCGAUCCCUCCGCACAGGAAGAGCGGACGGGCGGGCGGACGGGCGGCCGGGCGACGCGCGGGGGAGAAGGAGAGCGAGAGCGCGAGGAAAAAAGUUCCCGGGCGGCCUGGCUGCGCUCGCUCGCGGCCCCGGGCGCCAGGUGGGCCGUGCGCGCCCCGACAGCACCCCUGGCGGUCCGCGCGCCCCACUGCGCGCUCCCCGCCCGCCCUCCCGCCGGCCUGCGGGAGGGGCCCUCUGCGGUGGGAUCCCGGUGAGGCCCGGGAGGACUCUAGCGCCCUGCGUUCUGGAGCUUCCAGCGUCAGGCCAGGCCCCCACCCUCACUCCUUUAGCCCUCACCUGUGCCCACUUCUUUACAGUUUGAGAAACAUUUUCGAUUUCAAAACUCUAUUGGUUUCAUGUAAACUUCAUUUACUGGGCACCUGGCACCUUGCUGAGUCUUGA
rnacentral:lncRNA from 1 species